rnacentral:rRNA from 1 species
UAGGGAACCUUCCGCAAUGGACGAAAGUCUGACGGAGCAACGCCGCGUGAGUGAAGAAGGAUUUCGGUUCUUAAAACUCUUUUGUUAGGGAAGAAAAAAUGUAUAGUAACUAUAUCCAAAAGAGACGGUACCUAACCAGAAAGCCACGGCUACCUACGUGCCAGCAGCCGCGGUAAUACGUAGGUGGCAAGCGUUGUCCGGAAUUAUUGGGCGUAAAGCGCGCGCAGGUGGUUUAGAAAGUCUGAUGUGAAAGCCCACGGCUCAACCGUGGAGGGUCAUUGGAAACUAAUAAACUUGAGUGCAGGAGAGAAAAGUGGAAUUCCUGGGGUAGCGGUGAAAUGCGUAGAGAUUAGGAGGAACACCGGUGGCGAAAGCGGCUUUUUGGCCUGCAACUGACACUGAGGCGCGAAAGCGUGGGGAGCAAACAGG